CCCUAUUAUAUCUCAUAUAUAGGACUAUCUGGGGUCUCACAAUCUCCCCUCCUUUAAGCCCUGACGUCCUCGUUAGGUUCAGACUCACAAGUACCAGGCGAUGUGAGACUCGUCUCGCUAGCCCGUCAUCCAGACCCUGGCUCAGCCGAAACUUAUCUCACACUUCCGGCUGGUAAUUGGCUCUGAUACCAUCUGUGACGCCCCAACUUCCCAGGGGGUCACCCAUCCUAGGACUACUCCCGUCCUAGCACGCUUAACUCUCUUAACCUCUUGGGCCUUGCCACCACCCAAAAUGCUUAAGCUGGGUUAAGAGUUUAGCCCUAUUAUAUCUCAUAUAUAGGACUAUCUGGGGUCUCACACAAAACUCUCAAGACUU
rnacentral:lncRNA from 1 species